GACGAACCGUACGAACGUUAUUCGGAAUCACUGGGCUUAAAGGGUGCGUAGGCGGCGCAGAAAGUUGGGUGUGAAAUCCCUCGGCUCAACCGAAGAACUGCGCCCAAAACUACUGUGCUCGAGGGAGACAGAGGUGAGCGGAACUUAGGGUGGAGCGGUGAAAUGCGUAGAUAUCAGGAGGAACACCUGUGGCGAAAGCGGCUCACUGGACCAUAACUGACGCUGAUGCACGAAAGCUAGGGGAGCAAACAGG
rnacentral:rRNA from 1 species